rnacentral:rRNA from 1 species
GAUGAACGCUGGCGGCGUGCCUAAUACAUGCAAGUCGAGCGAACAGACGAGGAGCUUGCUCCUCUGACGUUAGCGGCGGACGGGUGAGUAACACGUGGAUAACCUACCUAUAAGACUGGGAUAACUUCGGGAAACCGGAGCUAAUACCGGAUAAUAUAUUGAACCGCAUGGUUCAAUAGUGAAAGACGGUUUUGCUGUCACUUAUAGAUGGAUCCGCGCCGCAUUAGCUAGUUGGUAAGGUAACGGCUUACAAAGGCGACGAUGCGUAGCCGACCUGAGGGGGAGGUGGCCGACCCGGGAAGAGAACAGGCGUCCAGACCCCGGAGGGGGGCACAAGACGGAACUCGUCAGCAAGGGGGGAGAGCGGGACGGAAAAGGGGGGGGGGAGUAAUAAAGGUGCUGGGAUCGAAAAACUGUUUUAUGGGGAAAAAAAAAAUGUGUAAGAAGAUAGACCGGUAUUGACGGUAACUAAUAAAAAAGCCAGGGCUAACUACGUG